rnacentral:rRNA from 1 species
UACGUAGGGUGCAAGCGUUGUCCGGAAUUAUUGGGCGUAAAGAGCUCGUAGGCGGUUUGUCGCGUCUGCUGUGAAAACUCGGGGCUUAACUCCGGGCCUGCAGUGGGUACGGGCAGACUAGAGUGCGGUAGGGGAGACUGGAAUUCCUGGUGUAGCGGUGAAAUGCGCAGAUAUCGAGAGGAACACCAGUGGCGAAGGCGAGUCCCUGGACAACACCUGACACUGAGGCACGAAAGCUAGGGGAGCAAACAGG